ensembl:miRNA
UUCUUCCCAGUCUUCACCUGAGGGGCUUUCUUCUGACCUGAGGCAGCCUCUUCUAGGCUGUGCCCCGUAGCCGUGCUGCCUCACGUGAGCCUGGAUUCUGCCCAGAGACGGAGAGAGGCUGGAAUUGCUGAGACCUGGGAGUG